CCGCCACAACGUCGCCCGGCGCCCCCCUACCCCCCAACCCACACCACCACCACGGCCUCGCCCCUUCUCGUCCUAUCCCCACGACGGCCUCGCCCCGCCGGCCCUUAUCCCCACGACGGCCUAACUCCGCCAGCUCCUGUCACCACCGCGGCCUUGCCUCGCCGCCAACCCCGCAAAUUUUCCCUACAUCGACUUUGCUGCCGCCAUCCUACCGCCCCAGAGCAGAUCGAGAUGCGAGCUGCUGGACACGAUGCGGGAGGAUGCAUCUCGAAUUGGACGGAGAUCCAGUGCGUUGACGUGCCCGCUGUAAUCAUCGCCCCCCGUGUUUGGCUCACACAGUUGCUCCGGGAAGGAGUUCGCAGCUCGCGUGCAUGCUCGGUUGCUGAAGGCGCCUUCGCCACAUUGUCAUUCAUUUGUGAGAUGUUUCUCUUUCUCUAUGUUGGCAUGGAUGAUAUAUAGAGUAGUGGAAGAUUGUUAGUGAAACACAUUCCGCCCAAUGAAAUGUAUCGCCUUGAGCUCCAUUAUUUAGGCCAGAUCACAUGAGAGAUGUUGUGUCAGUUGCAUUGGCAUCCAAUAAGGUAAAAGCUCUGAGUUAUAUUAGGAGGCGUACCCAUCUGUCUGAAGACUGCUCUUAAUAUAUUCUUCUCUUUCUCAUGUUGUAACAUUUAGAUCAGUCCACUUAUCGAAUUUUAAUUCCAUGUGCUCGGAUGCAUAUUUGAAUAAAUCAUCCAGUCCCUCUAGCUAUUGUACCAACAAAUGAAAAAGUAUAAGCAUCACAAGUGAGAAAUAAAGAAGAAGAAAAACUACAUAUGAAAAGAUGGGGCAGUAGGACUAACUACUAACCGUAUUAGUGAGGUCUUUGCAGUUCAUUGAUGGGCCUAGCGAGUCGAGCACUUGAACACAUAGUUUUCUGGCAUUUAUAACACAUAGGUACCAGUGAAUGUCGUCCAUAUUUAUUGGAAUGAAUAUCUGAAUAAAAUGAUUAUUUUAGUUGUACUCCUAUGUGGACGAAUCGGUCGUUCUUGCUGUAAUUCAUAGAAAUAUGUAGAAAACUAAGACUUACCAUAUCAUUUUCCAAAUACUCUUUGCCUCUGUUUAAUACCCAUUCUGGUGUGGCAUUCGUGUCAUCUGAGGAUGGAUAGCAAUCGAUCUUUAUCAUCUUAUAGAUGCAUGCAUUCUCUAAAAACACACUUCCACCUGACCUCACUUGUAGAUGCUCCGUAGCCAAUCACAAUCUUCAUCAGCUGUAGAAAUUGAGUGACUGUCAGUCAGGAAGUCAAAGAUUGGAUAUGCAGUGUUUCAUGCAGCUGGCAUCACCUGUGUCAGAUUGUUUUUGUUCUCCAGUUGUGAGGACUACUGUAGAUUUGGCUCGAUGCCGUUUGUCACGUAGUCUUUGUAAUAUACCUUGUUUAUGUUGCUCAUAUCGGGCACUUUCCCUCUGCCUCUUGAGUGCUUGUUUUGCUUUUGUAUAAUAAGUGUUAAUUAGGUACAAGACAACAUGAGCAACAGUGUUUUGUCAAUCAGAUGUACGGUGUAAGUGUAAAUUAUGUAUGAUAGUUAAUAUGAGCCAUAAUUGAGUACCAUAUGAACUGCUGCAUCUGUAGGCUUGAAAUGGCGGUCGUAACACAGUCGGUUGGGAGGACUCAAUGUCAGAGUCGAUAUUAUGAACAUUUUCCUUGUUAGAACCGGCACUAUCCGGUGUUAAUGAAUUUGGAGCAUGAAGUGGAGUCUGAUCACUCAUUAUCAUAUCAAGAGGUCCUGAAAGGGAGUAUGUGCCCCACUAUGCUUAGAGGAUGCCAUAUUGUCAACUCAGUUUGUCAUGCAGAUCAUGAUGUAAUAUCAGAAAGUAGUCAUAUGUCCUCAGAUGCUGCAGGCCACACGGGGUGAUGACACCGGAGGUAGGGCAGCACGCCGGGUGGAGGAGGUCGUGGCCACCAGGGGCGACGGCGGUGUGGAGAUGACGACGGUACGAGGAGA